rnacentral:pre_miRNA from 1 species
CCUUGUCACUUACUCGUCUAGUCUGUCAAAUAAGAACUGGACGGAGAACUGAUAAGGGC